UAUUAGGUGUGGUUUUGAACACUCAUCCGUAGGCACUUGAGACUUUGCAGAACGAUAGUCACCGCCUGAACUGAUCGGUAGCAUCAGAGAUCUUCCCAUUCUUAUCUGGCGUUGUCUGCCAGGAAGAAGACUUGACGUGUAUGAAUUCCUACUGAUCCGGCAUAGUCGCUUCCCAUCUGUGCAGGAAGACAUCAAGGUCACUAUCGCCUGGCGCAAUGGCGUUGUCUGCCAGGAAGGACGAUGCAUAGGAACUCAUAUUGGUUCGACAAUGUCGCGUCCAUCUACGCAGGAAGACAUCAGGGUCACUGACGUCUGACGAAUGGAUUUAUCUGCCAGGAAGGAGACUUGACGUCUAUGAAUUGACAGGGGUUCGCCAUGGGCACUUACAAACUGUACAGGAAGACAUCAGGGUGACUG